rnacentral:rRNA from 1 species
AAACUUUACAAUGCAGGAAACUGUGAUAAGGAGACACCGAGUGCUCGCAUCAAAUGCGGGCUGUCCGCUUACUUAAAUCGUAAGCGUUAGCAAGGGCCGGGCAAGACCGGUGCCAGCCGCCGCGGUAAUACCGGUGGCCCGAGUGGUAGCCGCUUUUAUUGGGUCUAAAGGGUCCGUAGCCGGUUCGGUCAGUCCAUUGGGAAAUCCGGAUGCUCAACAUCCGGGCUUCCAGUGGAUACUGCCGAACUUGGGAUCGGGGGAGGUAAGAGGUACUAUAGGGGUAGGAGUGAAAUCUUGUAAUCCCUGUGGGACCACCUGUGGCGAAGGCGUCUUACCAAAACGAGUCCGACGGUGAGGGACGAAAGCUGGGGGCACGAACCGGA